rnacentral:rRNA from 1 species
GUUUGAUCCUGGCUCAGGAUGAACGCUGGCGGCGUGCCUAAUACAUGCAAGUCGUACGAACAGCGGAAAGUGCUUGCACUUUCCAAGUAAGUGGCGAACGGGUGAGUAACACGUGAAUAACCUACCUCAAAGUCUGGGAUAACCAUUGGAAACAGUGACUAAUACCGGAUAAAACCCAAGUGCACAUGCACUAAGGUUAAAAGCUGCGUUUGCAGCGCUUUAAGAUGGAUUCGCGGUGCAUUAGUUAGUUGGUGAGGUAAAGGCUCACCAAGACGAUGAUGCAUAGCCGAGUUGAGAGACUGACCGGCCACAUUGGGACUGAGACACGGCCCAAACUCCUACGGGAGGCUGCAGUAGGGAAUCUUCCACAAUGGGCGCAAGCCUGAUGGAGCAACGCCGCGUGUGUGAUGAAGGCUUUCGGGUCGUAAAGCACUGUUGUAUGGGAAGAACGGGUUUAAGAGGAAAUGCU